UACGUAGGGUCCGAGCGUUGUCGGAAUUAUUGGGCGUAAAGGGCUCGUUGGCGGUCUGUUGCGUUGGGAGUGAAAACUUACAGCUUAACUGUGAGCGUGCUUCCGAUACGGGCAGACUUGAGGUAUUCAGGGGAGAACGGAAUUCCUGGUGUAGCGGUGAAAUGCGCAGAUAUCAGGAGGAACACCGGUGGCGAAGGCGGUUCUCUGGGAAUAUCCUGACGCUGAGGAGCGAAAGUGUGGGGAGCGAACAGG
rnacentral:rRNA from 1 species